AACGAACGCUGGCGGCAUGCCUAACACAUGCAAGUCGAACGAGACCUUCGGGUCUAGUGGCGCACGGGUGCGUAACGCGUGGGAACCUGCCCUUAGGUUCGGAAUAACUCCCCGAAAGGGGUGCUAAUACCGGAGAAUGUCUUCGGACCAAAGAUUUAUCGCCUUUGGAUGGGCCCGCGUUGGAUUAGCUAGUUGGUAGGGUAAAAGCCUACCAAGGCGACGAUCCAUAGAUGGUCUGAGAGGAUGAUCAGCCACACUGGGACUGAGACACGGCCCAGACUCCUACGGGAGGCAGCAGUGGGGAAUAUUGGAAAAUGGGCGAAAGCCUGAUCCAGCAAUGCCGCGUGAGUGAUGAAGGCCUUAGGGUUGUAAAGCUCUUUUACCCGGGAUGAUAAUGACAGUACCGGGAGAAUAAGCUCCGGCUAACUCCGUG
rnacentral:rRNA from 1 species